CGGGGCGUGGCUCAGUUGGCUAGAGCGCUCGGUUCGGGACCGUGAGGUCGCUGGUUCAAAUCCAGUCGCCCCGA
rnacentral:tRNA from 2 species